UACGAUUUUGGCUAUGACUAUGGCGAAGACUAUAACAGCGACUGGCACGGACGAGCGGCGCUCAGUACUUUGAGGGUAGUUAGUUGGACAACGGCUUUGCCGAAAAACGGGCCCCACAGCAGCAGCUGCCGCACAACAAUUUUUUGGCUGGCUCGUAAAAAAGAGCGCAGAGCGGCGGGCAGCUCACCCAACUCCAACUUCGCGUCGAACCUUAUAAAUCACUCGUUGAGCACGCAGCACUCGAGCAACAACACGAGCAAAAAUAUAUAUAUAAAAAAAAAAAAACAUAUUAUAAUAAUGUGCUUUAAUUAACUGUGCAGCAUAACAACAAGUAGACCAAAGAAAAAAAUAGCUCAACAGAGUUUAACCAAAGUGCGGUGUGUGUGUUUUUUUACCCUCAACAGUCAUGUACAUACAUAAAAAAAAGUAAAUAAAUGCAUUAACUAACAAGCGGCUAUUAACAAAAUGCAAUCAGUCAGCAGACAGUGAAAGUUCAAAAGUUAAUUAUAAAAAAAA